UACAGAGGUCUCAAGCGUUUGUUCGGAUUCAUUGGGCGUAAAGGGUGCGUAGGUGGCGGGGUAAGUCAGGUGUGAAAUUUCGGAGCUUAACUCCGAAACUGCAUUUGAUACUGCCUUGCUUGAGGACUGGAGAGGAGACUGGAAUUCACGGUGUAGCAGUGAAAUGCGUAGAUAUCGUGAGGAAGACCAGUGGCGAAGGCGGGUCUCUGGACAGUUCCUGACACUGAGGCACGAAGGCCAGGGGGAGCAAACGGG
rnacentral:rRNA from 1 species